AAUUCUCAACUCUCCUAUACUGUUUUGUAGAGGAGGGCUUGGAUUGUGGAGGCUUGCUGGCCAUCUGUUUGAGGUCAGCUCCUCUGAAAUGCAUUAGCGGAACCGUUUGCGAUCUGCCACAAGUGUGAUAAUUAUCUACACUGGCGAGGGGGAUUGCUCUCUGCGUUGUUCAGCUUCUAAUCGUCUCCAUUUUGUGAGACUACUUUUUGAAU
rnacentral:misc_RNA from 1 species